rnacentral:rRNA from 1 species
UACAGAGGUCUCAAGCGUUGUUCGGAUUUACUGGGCGUAAAGGGCGCGUAGGCGGUCAGCACAAGUCAGUUGUGAAAUCUCCGGGCUUAACUCGGAAAGGUCAACUGAUACUGCGCGACUAGAGUGCAGAAGGGGCAACUGGAAUUCUCGGUGUAGCGGUGAAAUGCGUAGAUAUCGAGAGGAACACCUGCGGCGAAGGCGGGUUGCUGGGCUGACACUGACGCUGAUGCGCGAAAGCCAGGGGAGCGAACGGG